AACAGCCCCAUUCUUGCCUUGCUGGGCCUGGAGACUUCUUAAAAGAGCAUGCCUCUGUCAGGCGGGUGAGGGAGGGCCACUAGCUGGAGUUGAUUUGCCAGUGCAGCCUGGAGCCCUCGACUCCCCUUCCCUGUGAUGGACUGAUGUAAUCCUCCUUUCAGCUCUCAGGGACAAAGCAGGAGCUCCAAAGUUCUGCUCUCCACCCUGGUACCCCUGGGCCUGGUGCUGGCGCUAGGGACCGUGGCUGUAUGGGUGGCCAGAGCCCGGCACCGGAAGAAUGUGGACCGCAUAUCGAUUAGAAGCUACCGGACAGACAUCAGCAUGUCGGACUUCGAGAGCUCCAGAGAUUUUGGUGCCAAUGACAACAUGGGAGCCUCCUCAGUCACUCAGGAGACAGUGCUCGAAGGGAAAGUCGAGGCCAUGGCCAACGCCGAGAGCACCACGGACACUGAAGAGCCCAAGAGGGCAAAAAGGUCAUCCAAGGAGGAAGCUGACAUGGCCUACUCGGCCUUCCUGCUCCAGUCCAGCAGCAUUGCUGCCCAGGCCCAGGACGGCCCCAAGGACACCUAAGCAGCGCCGGCCGCCUGUUGCUUGCCCGUGACAAUCACCUUCAGAAUCAUGUUGAUCUUUGGGGCCCGGCUCCGGGGGCCUCCACUGCCUGCCUUCGCCCCCCUGGGCUUUCCCUCAUCCUCAGAGGUGCACUACUCCACCUUCGCCACCCUUGGUGACACUGAAGCCUGACCUAAUCGCUCCUUAGGGCUAGGCAGCGAUUAGGGGAGAGGCUCCCACCUGCAACUCCUUUCUGUUGAGAGGACUUGGGGUGCUGGGGAGGGAUUCGGGGAGGGACAACUGGGGCUCCUCUCAGGAGAGAGCCACUUGGAGCCCCCUGUGCCCCAAAGGGGAGAUUUGCCCCUCCACUCCGCUCUGCCUCCCUCCCUUCCUCUCUUCUCCUUUCCUUCAUCCCAAAGACAUGCGUGAAUCCAGGUGCCCUGCUAGACACCGGGACAGGUGUGCCUCAAAGCCAGAUCAUGGCGAAAAGGCUACGCAUGGCCCUGGAAAAGGCCUGAGUCCUCUCUGUGUCACAAGACCUCUCACCUCUGCCCUUGCUGGGUGACAUCAUAAAGUGCCAGGGUCCUGGGGCACCCACACAGUCUUCACAGAUACCCAUUCUUACACCACUGGACAAAACAGGGAGGACCUGAGAGGGACCCUCGAGGGAACCCCGUGACAUAAACCAGUGCCAAAGCAGAUUUGGCGUCUCCUGUCUUCUUGACCAGCGAUCUCUCUUCAAGACCCCUGUCCCCUGUUGGAGGCAGUUGUAGAAUAAGCAGGAAGGAAAGAAAAACAUACAUGGAGACAGAGCUUUCCCAGGCCCUAACCCAGGGAGGACAACCCUUUCCCUUCCUGUCACUCACGUGGGUCUAGGAUGGAGGAACGAUCAACUGCAACUUGAAGAGUUCCAAGUGAAGAGGAGGAAGAGCUGGUUGACCGAUCCUGGGAGGAGCUGAUCUCCCAAGAGCUAAAGAUGAAGGUCUUUUUCCCUCUCAGCUCGCUCCGUACUUCACCCAGCAUCUACAAGCUGGCACUUGCUAACAAAUCAGAAAUGUUACUUCAUAAUUAAAGACCAUGAUUGCCACCAAGGAGGCUCAGAUUGCAUUUGUCCCCGUACCUGGGGUUUCCCAGACAAUCCUUCCAGAGCAUUUUGCUUUGGUCCCACUUUUAGGCACCCAUGUCAUGCGUCGAAACCAACAGGCUCCUUCACCUCCCUGGCUGAGCUGAAGGGGGCUGGGAUGUGACGAAAAGUGGAACCAAGAUCAUCUUCAAUAAAAGAAUUGUUUUGCGUCUAUUCCAGUACUCAAGACCCUAAAGUUCUAUAUUGUAGAACAUCAGUGAGACUUCAGUGGGGUGCACUGAAAGCAAGUGGAACCUCGUAGGUGCUGAAAGAAAACUCUUGGUAAACCGUCCAUGGGACACUUAACUUUGAAUCUCGUUGCUCUCCAAGGUCAAGAUGCUGCUAAACAAAAC
rnacentral:lncRNA from 1 species